UAUUUUGCAUUACCCUAGUUUGCGGUCGGGGAAUGAAAAAGUCUGCAUGGGUGGAUGUGGAAUAGGCGCACGGGAGAGUCAUUAGGCGUUGUCGGAGGCUUUUGUGUAUGCACACGCCGACGGUGCAGAGACGGGGCACACACAAUGUUAAACUAUCGAUUCGACCUACUUUUCGAAAAUAAUACGUAGUACCCGACUUUUCACUUGUGCGGAUCCUACUGCGCCAUUACACACUCUGGUUAACUAAUUCACGAUGAUAACACCUUUUACAAACAAUCCGAAUGUUAAUACCAGUGUAAUUGUAAUUAGAAGCACGCAUCAAAUCACACUUCACGAGAUUAUGGUAUCGUCGAGAGUAUACUCGGGAACUGCAUGUUGGAAAACGUUCCAACACAGAGAAACAACCAGAGUCAGCGCGAAGAACCCGAUGCAGCCAGCGAUAGAACAGCAAACGUGCAAAAAUAAAGGAAGAAGAACUGCAUGACUGGGGAGAGCAACAGAAGGCGAUAGAAACGAAAACGCAUAGAAUAUGUGCACACACACAAGAGCACAGAGUAACCGCCGAAGACGAAAGAUUCUAGGACCAAAUAGCAAUAGCUGUGCGAUGAGAAGUCGAAAGCUUAGUCUGUCGAUGUCGAAGAUCUCCGAGAAGAGGAGUCUACUACCAGUGUACUUGGGGCAUACAACAUGAAUGUGAAAAUGAAUUUAACAAAUU